rnacentral:rRNA from 1 species
UACGAAGGGGGCUAGCGUUGUUCGGAAUUACUGGGCGUAAAGCGCUCGCAGGCGGGUCGAUAAGUCAGGGGUGAAAUCCCGGGGCUCAACCUCGGAAUUGCCUUUGAUACUGUCAAUCUCGAGUCCGGGAGAGGUGAGUGGAAUUCCUAGUGUAGAGGUGAAAUUCGUAGAUAUUAGGAAGAACACCAGUGGCGAAGGCGGCUCACUGGUCCGGUACUGACGCUGAGGUGCGAAAGCGUGGGGAGCAAACAGG